rnacentral:rRNA from 1 species
UCCUCCCUCUUUCUUCGUGCUUAACACAUGCAAGUCGAACGGAAAGGCCCUGCUUGCCGGGUGCUCGAGUGGCGAACGGGUGAGUAACACGUGGGUGAUCUGCCCCUUACUUUGGGAUAAGCCUGGGAAACUGGGUCUAAUACUGGAUAGGACCAUGCUGUAGGUGGUGUGGUGGAAAGAUUAGUUUCGGUAAGGGAUGAGCUCGCGGCCUAUCAGCUUGUUGGUGGGGUAUUGGCCUACCAAGGCGUCGACGGGUAGCCGGCCUGAGAGGGUGGACGGCCACAUUGGGACUGCGAGACGGCCCAGACUCCUACGGGAGGCAGCAGUGGGGAAUAUUGCACAAUGGGCGCAAGCCUGAUGAAGCGACGCCGCGUGGGGGAUGACGGCCUUCGGGUUGUAAACUCCUUUCAGCCAUGACGAAGCCCUUGUGGUGACGGUAGUGGUAGAAGAAGCACCGGCUAACUACGUG